rnacentral:rRNA from 1 species
UACGAAGGGUACAAGCGUUGUUCGGAAUUACUGGGCGUAAAGCGCGCGUAGGCGGAUGGGUAAGUGGAUUGUGAAAGCCCUGGGCUUAACCUGGGAACUGCAGUCCAUACUGCCUAUCUUGAGUGCCUGAGAGGAUGGCGGAAUUCCCCGGUGUAGUAGUGAAAUACGUAGAUAUCGGGAAGAACACCUGAGGCGAAGGCGGCUAUCUGGCGGUGCACUGACGCUGAGGCGCGAAAGCGUGGGGAGCAAACAGG